AACAAUCUAAUGUAUCAACAGUGAAUAUUUUCAAGAGUACAUCAACAACAAAUUUUUUAUAGCAACUAUAAUAACAUCUGAAGCAAGAAUUCAAGAUCAUCAAACCUAAAUCAAUUCGAUUUUGAGAGUUUGCAUCAAAGUGUAACAUUGUUUCAUGGGGAUUUUGUUCAAUCAACAUGCAAAAGCGAUUUCAUUGGCAAAAGAUGACAGAAAGUACCGAAUCGGAGCUUUGGAAUUUUCUAGAUCCCGACGACCUUUUGGCAGAAAUCGAUUUUCCAGUGAGGCUAGAAGAUGUAAGGGUAGCUCUUGUU
rnacentral:lncRNA from 1 species